UACGAAGGGGGCUAGCGUUGCUCGGAAUCACUGGGCGUAAAGCGCACGUAGGCGGCUUUUUAAGUCAGAGGUGAAAUCCUGGAGCUCAACUCCAGAACUGCGUUUGAUACUGGAGAGCUUGAGUCCGGGAGAGGUGAGUGGAACUGCGAGUGUAGAGGUGAAAUUCGUAGAUAUUCGCAAGAACACCAGUGGCGAAGGCGGCUCACUGGCCCGGUACUGACGCUGAGGUGCGAAAGCGUGGGGAGCAAACAGG
rnacentral:rRNA from 1 species